rnacentral:rRNA from 1 species
UUCUCCCCUUACAUGUUUGAUCCUGGCUCAGAACGAACGCUGGCGGCGUGGAUAAGACAUGCAAGUCGCACGGAGUGCCUUCGGGCACUGAGUGGCGCACGGGUGAGUAACACGUGAGUAACCUGCCCCUGAGACAGGGAUAGCCCCGGGAAACUGGGAUUAAUACCUGAUGGUCUCGCAAGAGUAAAGCAGCAAUGCGCUCAGGGAGGGGCUCGCGUCCUAUUAGUUAGUUGGCGGGGUAACGGCCCACCAAGGCGAUGACGGGUAGCCGGUCUGAGAGGAUGUCCGGCCACACUGGAACUGAGACACGGUCCAGACACCUACGGGUGGCAGCAGUCGAGAAUCAUUCACAAUGGGCGAAAGCCUGAUGGUGCGACGCCGCGUGGGGGAGGAAGGUCUUCGGAUUGUAAACCCCUGUCAUGUGGGAGCAAGACUUCGGUUUGAUAGUACCACAAGAGGAAGAGACGGCAAACUCUGUGCCAGCAGCCGCGGUAAUACAGAGGUCUCAAGCGUUGUUCGGAAUCACUGGGCUGUAAAGGGUACGUAGGUGGCAUCAUAAGUCGUGCGUGAAAGGCAGGGGCUCAACCUCUGGAGUGCGCGUGAUACUUGUGAUGCUGGAGUAAUGGAGGGGGAACCGGAAUUCUUGGUGUAGCAGUGAAAUGCGUAGAUAUCAAGAAGAAGACUCGUGGCGAAGGCGGGUUCCUGGACAUUUACUGACGCUGAGGUACGAAGGCCAGGGUAGCGAAAGGGAUUAGAUACCCCUGUAGUCCUGGCAGUAAACGGUGCACGUUUGGUGUGCGGAGAUUCGACCCUCUGCGUGCCGGAGUUAACACGUUAAACGUGCCGCCUGGGGAGUACGGUCGCAAGAUUAAAACUCAAAGAGAUUGACGGGGACCCGCACAAGCGGUGGAGUAUGUGGCUUAAUUCGAUGCAACGCAAAGAACCUUACCAAGGCUUGACAUCCCGUGACCGUCUGUGAAAGCAGAUUUUCUAUUCGUAGACACGGAGACAGGUGCUGCAUGGCCGUCGUCAGCUCGU